GAAAGACUGGAUGGAGGUCUCCAUGCCAAGAAGCCACUGAGCAGCCCAUUUCUAUCCCUCUCCCUCAGAGCAGCUGGAUGGGGAGAGGGAAUUCCUUUUCAAUUGCUCCAUAAGGAGCACACACAUGUGCAUGUUCGCACCAGAGAUGACUUUAGGCAGGGGCGCUACAAAGGAUCCAUAGAACACAAGAGAGGAACAUUUCCAGGGAUUUAUGGCUAGAAAUCCUUUCCUUUUCCUGCCCCUUUCAAGGGCUGAUAGGAGAGCAGUCUCUGCAAUGGAUCCAGAGUCAGGACUCCCACUGGUCUUUGUCAUUAAACCCGCCCCUCACCUCCAAGUGACGGGAUGAUUGAGAAAGCCAAGCUGAAAUGAGGGCAGGAAGAUCACCAAGGUUCACCAUUGAGAAUAAGGAAAUGAAGCCCAUAAAAAGAAAGCUAGAAUGUCAGGAGGACAAAGUAUGCUCUGAACCAAUCCAAUAACAGAACAAAGGCUUUUCAUAGGAAUAUGCCACCAUAGUAAAGGAAGCAGAGAAAUUUCUAUUUGGUCAUCACAGCUGGCAGAAACUACCCCCAUCUAAUAAAACAAGUGGCUGCAGAAUCCAAUCGUGGGCCCCCAGCACCAAUCCUAACUUCACAGGAAUUGUUAAUGAGCAAGAGGUGUUGCUAGACCAGCACCUUUCAUAAAGCUCUUCCACCAUAACACAGGGAGCGCAAGACACAGACACUGCACUAAUCCUGAGAAGAGUCCUAUAACCAGGGAAGGGAGAAAAGCAGAAGAACGCAUACAGGCCAUUAGGGAUCCUCCACCAACACAUAAUUUAUCUGGAUAACCGAUCAAACUAAAUCUAAGAAAGGUUGGUUGUUUUCUGAAAUAGUCAUUCCAGCAGAAAAGCACUUAACAUCUAUCAACCAAUGCUGUACCAGGUCAGAGUAGCCACUUGAGUUUUAAGUUUAUUCUGGUUAUCUGCUUUCCAGCAAGGAAAUUAUAAAAGACUGCCCAAAAAGUCUAUGAUACAAACUUGUAAAUAAGUUACCUGUAUUAUGAAUUUCCAAA